rnacentral:rRNA from 1 species
AGAGAUGCACUGGGUUUAAAGGGUGCGCAGGCGGUUUUGUAAGACAGAGGUGAAAUCCCCGGGCUCAACCUGGGAACUGCCUUUGUGACUGCAAGGCUGGAGUGCGGCAGAGGGGGAUGGAAUUCCGCGUGUAGCAGUGAAAUGCGUAGAUAUGCGGAGGAACACCGAUGGCGAAGGCAAUCCCCUGGGCCUGCACUGACGCUCAUGCACGAAAGCGUGGGGAGCAAACA